UGGGCGUGAUGAGAGCUCCGAGCCUGACCAACCUUUCGGUGGAGGCCAAAGCUGAUUUAAUGAGCCUGAUCC